UCGAACUCACAAACCGUGAGAUAACGACCUGAGCCAAAGUUGGACGCUUAACCCACUGAGCCACCCAGGUGUCCUGGUAUGGAGAAACUUUUAAUUUAUUAUGCUAGGGAUUUAGUUUCUUCAUUCCCAUGUCGACAUCAAAGGAUGUUGGUGGGGGUCUACUCUACAUAGUCACUCAGAGUCCAAGGAUAACAUAGGCCCCCCCAUCUGGUAGUUGCACCAACUGGGUUAGGAAUCUCUUUUUGGAGCUCUUGCUCUCGACAUUCUGACUUUGAGUUCCCUUUUCUUUUCCAGAACUUGGGGAUUUCCCCUUCUCUCUUUUGAGCUCAGCUGGGUGCUAAAUGAUUUUACAUUUUCUACAUUUAUAUCCAUUUGAAGCAGCAGAAGAACAUUCCUUUAAUUAAAACUUCAUGUUGCCAGAAGUUGAAUGUUUUAAGAGGUUAUAUUCUAAAACAUUUUAGAUCCCAACUUUCCUAUUUAUUUUGUGUACGAAUUUACAUCUCAGAGCCAACUGCCAGAGCGCUCAGAUUCCAAGCAUCCAAAAAUUAGCAUAUCCUAUUUCUGCACAUUCUGGGUUUUCUUAGGCUGUCAGUUUCCAUCAUCAGUCGGCUACUUCUCUGGAUAUCUGCAAAUAUUUCUGGGGUCCAUUACCACAGCAAUUCAUUUUAUUAAACAAUAGCCACCCAUAGAGGUCAUGGGACAUCCUUCCAGCAAAAAUUUAACAGUGUUUACCUACGAGGUAUGUGCUAUGCCCUGGAAGGAAAAUAAAGAUGAGGAAGCCUCAGAUACGGCCCCAAGUAGCACACAGUCUGGUAGGAGAGACAGGACAUGUAUGUAAAUAACCUUUAUAUAGGUGGACCAUGAUAAUGGCUGAAGAAACUCAGGAGCAGCAGAAUGCUUUCAGGAUUCAGAGGGGACACACUCAUUUAUAGAUGGAGAAACCAGAGAAGGCUUCAUGGAAGUGGUGUUUGUACUGGUGCUCAAGGAUGGUGUGUUAGCUUUCCAUUGUUAGCCUAACAAAUUACCACAAGUUUAGUGCACGGACACAACACCUUGUAAGGUACAGCAUGGGGCUAUUGUGAACAAUACUGCAUAGCCUGUUUGAAAGCUGCUAAGAGAGUUACUGUCCUGAAGUUCUAUAGGUCAGAAGUGCGAGUACAGUGAGGCUCCUCUGGGUCCCUUGCUUAGUUUCACAAGGUCAAAAUCAAGGUGUUGGGAGGGCUGCAUUCCGUUCUGGAGCCCCUAGGGAUGAAUCUCAGGUUGCUUAGUUCCUUGUGGCAACAGGACCGAGGUCCCAUAUCCCUGCCAGCUGUCAUCUGGGGGCCUGUCUUUGCUCCUAGAGGCCACCACAUUCCCCCCUGUGUUUUAUAUGUCACCCUCUUCAGCAGUGGGAGGUGAGUCCCUCUCAGGCUUUUAAUCUCUCCUUCUGCUACAUCUCUUCUGACCCCAGCUGGAGAAAGUUCUCUGCUCUUAAGGGCUCCCGUGAUCAUAUCUCCACCUGGAGAGUCUAGGCAACGCUCCCUGUUUUCAGGUCUGUAACCUACAUUGCACCUGCAGAGUCCCCUUUGCCAUGCAAGGUAACUAACAUGUUUACAGGAUCCUGGAAUUAGGCCGUGGGCAUCUUUGGAGCACCAUCACCUGGUGCCUACCCCUGAUGGUUAGAAUUUACACAUGCUGGGCCACGUCAGAGGGUUCCUCGUGCAGAGGGAAUGGAGAGGACAAACCGUGGAGGCAGGAGACCACGUGCAAGGAGAGUGAGAACAGCUGGCUUUUCUAGAGUAUAAAAUGGCCAGCUUCCUCCAAAUGAUGAGAUACGUGGGCAAGCUCUUGGGUAGAGUCAGACCUUCUGAACGAGAGUAAGGCAGCCACAGACCCCCGAGGGCCUGGAGAGUGACGUGCCAUUGCAUCAGCACCGCGGGUGAAAUUGCUGUGGUAGCGCUUCUACGCUUCCUGCGCAGACUUCCUUCCUCGCGAUUUAACCGUGUAAAAGCUGGGCGCCUUCAGUUUGGCCACGAGGACCCGAGGACCAGGUGAUGAGGGCGUAGCCUUCCUCAGAAGCUCAGCCUCCUGCUCCCAGCUAUUCAGAGCCUAGCAGCCUCCAGGACAGAGGAGGAGACGGAGGCCGGCUGUCGCCUGAGCCACAGUGGACCCAAACUGUCCCCUGGCCCCUGCCUAGGACUGUCCCCACAGCACACCAGGUGGUGCCAGCUCAUCAAGGUCCCUCGACCAGGAAGUGCAAAAGGGCUGAGCCCCCCUAGGGGACCAGAAGGAGGCGUGGAACAAGAGGACCCCAAGGGGGAAUGAUCUGGCAGGAGGCUGGCCAGGAGCCAGGCUUCGAUGCUCACAAACCCAGGAACGUACUCUUCUCCUGAACACCCACCUCUGGGGUUCACUGCCCAGUCUCCAUGAGUGGGAUGUGGCACACAGAAGUGGCUGCUAUCGGGCACCAGAGCAGGGCCAGGGCCACUGGCUCUACAAGGCCAUUCUCGGAACCUGAAGCUGCUUCAUGAGAGUCAAGGCUGUGCCCGGGAAACCCCACCCAUUCUUGCCUGUGCUAGGAAGCGGGCACCUGUGUGGGCCUGGGUCCCGCAGGGAGUAUGGCAAGUGUGAAUUCUGAGGCUGGAGGAGGGUGCCAGAUGUCACCAAAGGCCUCAGGGACAGCCGAAACAGAGAUGGACGGAAAGAAACAUUUCUGAGGCAGCCUCAAGAAUGCCCAGCCUGAAGAGGGCCAAAUACAGUGACGAAGUAUCUUCCUGACACAGGCACCUCAAAUUCCAGCCGAGAGAGACGUGGUGUACCAGCAGAUGAACAAAGGGUGACGCUUCCCAGCAUCACAGAGGCCACUUUCCAGGAUGUUCCAGAGCCGCAGCCUCAGGCAGCCAAGCGAGGGCCUGGAGGCUGGGCCCGCUGUCCUGGCGUCUCGGCUAAACCCACAUAACCUCCAAUUUGCUGACCACACACGGGUCUGGAGAAACACAGAAUCCCACGAAGCCACCAGCAAGUCCAGGGACACAGUCGGGCCAGGCAGAGAACCCAGGGCUUGGUAAAUUCUCAGGGACAUCUGCGUAUGGCUUGCAGCAGCGAGCACCCCCUUAACAAAGCCACCACUGUGUCCAGAAAGGAAAACCUAUUGAGAGAGCUCAUCACUGCUUCUCUAUGGGGAGUGAUACAGAUCGCCUCUGUUGCCAGGCAAAAAACGUUCCCACAGUAGUGUAAGAAAAGAAAAGUGAAUUCAAGCCUGGGUGGGAAUGGCUGAGAUGGGGACACACAAGAAUCAAGAGGGCCAGGCAGGCAGGGUACCCGCUGUGGGGUAGGUGUUGUUCUGGGACCUUUACCCAAAUGACUCCACUUAAUUGGUCCCAGACGCACCAUGGGAUGGCAGCAUUAUUUCAGUUCCACAGUUGAGCAAAUUGAGAUAGAGGUUGCUCAACUUUGGGGCCAAAGAACACUACUGAGAGGCCCUAAGAGCUGAAAAGAUUUGGGUAGCCCUCCUCCCCCCAGCCAUCCCAUGCAAAAUGAAUAAAUACUAAACCACAAUACAGGUGUAAGGAAGUCCCAGGAAAUUCUGAGUUUUCCCAGGAGGAUGAGUUUUCUUCAUGUUUUUUUUUAAAGCAAAUUAUUUUCUAACACUUUCCUCAUUUGUUUGUGUCCCGCUUGGCUGGCAAUCUAAGCAUGUGGCCUGCUUUACUGGUGACCUAAGCCCCCAGGGUAAAGGCGUAGGGCCAAGAAUCUUAACCCGGUCUGCCUCUGGAGUAUCCAUGUCUGCAACAGCGGGGGCCAGACCUCAGGCUGCAGCUCUUACUUUACAGAUCUUUAGACUCGAAAGGCACAUGUCACUUUCUGCUCUGUGUUCCAGGUAUCUGUGUUGUACAUCUGUAUCUUUGGUCUCAGUCUCGGGGUCUGAGCUUUUGAACGGGGUCAAAACAGUAAUACUUGCCCUGUUGGGUAAUACUGGCCUCAGGAGGUUUUAGGGACACCGGAAAGCACCCCAUAAUCACAAAGUGAGGAUGGUUGACCCUCGAUGGCCGUGUUGAGGGCUGAGUCGGCUCUGUGCUCCACGGAGCAGCCACCCCUGUCCCCACCACACAGCAGCCUCUGCCAUGGGACAAAGUGGCCCCAGCACAGAGGAGACUCAUGGCUGGGCUUUUGAGCCUCCCAUUAGCCUCCCCUUGCCUCUGUCCACCCUGCCACAGGCUGACCCACCCAGUCCACGACUAACCCCGCAGUGCCCACAGGAUCCCCUUGCCACCCCUCCUCCAGCCCUUGGAGGUAGAGGCAAGAUCCUUGCCUCCAAAAGGGGUUCCCCCCCACUCCUGAGGGCCGGUCUCUAGGCCUCUGCUUAUAGAAUCAGCUUGAAAGGGGAGAGCAAAUGAGAAAGCCCUAAGCACAAUGCUUGGAACAUAACUGGCACUAUAUUGGUUCUUUCCCUUCCUAACUGGAGAGUAGUACUAUGAGGUGUUCGUUGCUAUUCACAUGUUAGAGGUGAGGAGACUGAGGUUUGGACAGGUUAGGCCUUCCUGACAAGGCCUCUUAGCUAGGACUGUUGGAGCCUGGAUUCUGCUGAGCCGGACUCUGCUCUUUCCAUGGCCUCACUCCAUUGUCAAUGGGAAUGGAUGGAGGUUUCUCCAGAGGUCCCCUCCUGCCGGUGAAAGCUUCUCUUGAUGACCUCCAGACACCUGACUUUCAAGGCAGAUCUUAAGCCAGACCUGAGGCAGGUGGCCUAGGGCUGUCUACUCCCUUGAGUAACACUCAGGCCUUAUAAGAGGUGGGCAGAUUGCCACUCUGCCCCACUGAGGGACCAGCAGACCAGAGCCCUGAUGGGAAAAGAUGUCCCCUGACCGCAGCGGGAGGAUAGGAGUGAGGUGUGGCAGGCACUGUGGCUGGCAGGAUAGACCUUGCAGAGGUCACUGGGUCUACGUGGAAUGGUGGCCCCUGUCUCUAGUCGUUUGGCUUUCUGGAGGAUCAUCUUUCUCGUGGUGGUGAUGCUAUAAAGCUGGGGAUGAGGCCUGGGCAGGGGGGAUGCCAGGGCUGUGAGGAGAGAUGGUGCAACACAGCCAGAUGCUGAGUCACCUUUGUGGAAGGAUGCAGAGAGCCCCCUGAAGAAGUGGGGGAGUCCAAAGCGCCCACUGAGUAGCCCCCCACCUCACCCCUGCAGCCCCACCACGCGCUCAUACUUCAGAGUCUGAGUCUCGUUGUAGAAGGGCUGCGGGAUCCUCAGGACCAGCCCGGACCUCGCUGUGCAGACCCAGGCAGCUUAGCUCUGCCAGCCUCAGGCCCCACACUUGAUCCCAUAGUCCUCUCCUUCAGCUCCGCGGCCGCCCAGCCAGGCCUCCCUUCUAGCCCACCAGAGCACGGGGGUCUUCCUCAGCCCCCGGGGCGGCCCCAGAUGCAGCUCUGGGACUGGGGGGGCCAAGUGUGCAAGGGAGCAAGGGUUGGAGGCUGCCAGGGCCAGUCAGAGGAAGAGUGAAGGGAGGGGAUCAGCAGAAGCAGGAGGAAGGCUGCCAGAGCCAGAGGGACACAGGGCUACUGUAUCGAAAGAGGCAGCCUGUGUGGAGGGAGCAGCCGCUAGGCCAAUUGAUUGUUUAUUUUGUGAGUCGGGGUUGCCGGGCCUUAGGCCAGGGAAGUUAUUUCAGGCAGAGAGCAUAGCACAUUAAUUAGUUAUUAGAAGAAUGUCCUUUUCUGCACGUUCUUCCUGAGAUGAGAAAUAGACCCUGUGGCAAGUACAUAUAAAUGAAAGUGGAUGGACACUCGGGAGGCAAAAGGCCAAGGGCCAGGGAAUGAAGAGGCAGGUCUGUUUCCGAGGGAAACAUCCCUCACAGGUUCAGGCCUGGCCGGAGCCUGUGAAUCGGAGCCUGUGAAUCACGGUGCUUCAGGCAAGAAGCAGGGGGAGGGAGCACCGCCUUAGCUACUCCAAGUGGAGCCUUCUUUGCUCUGGGGAAGGGGUGUGGUCUCACCUUACCCUCUUGGAAGGCAACUCAGAAAUAGGAUUCUUAACACCAAAAUUAAACAUAAAAAAAUUAAAAACAAAGCAAAACUGCACAACCCUUGGCCUAGUGAUUUCACUUCUGGGACUCCCUGA